GUCCCUUCGGGGACAUCCAAUAAAAUUGGAAUGAUACAGAGAAGAUUAGCAUGGCCCCAAUGCACGGAUGACACAGACAAAUCGACAAAAUGGUCCAUGUUUUU
rfam:Triticum aestivum genome assembly, contig: Triticum_aestivum_CS42_TGACv1_scaffold_290173_4AL